CCCGUGUUGGGUUUUUAACGUUGGCAAGACUGUAACCUUGGCUUCCUUCCGGUUUGUGUUUGAUGAUGAAGAAAGUUGUCUAGACCGCCAUUAUUGGGUGUGAGCAGGGUGUGAACAGGCUGUGAUCGAUAUGAAGUGCAUUCAUGUAUGGCGGCACCAGUGCAAUUAAUGCAAUCUGCUACAUGUGCUAAGCCAAGAACCGAUGAAUAUCCUGGUCCAUUUGGAUUUGAAAUUCAGAUAGAUGGUGGAUCUUCAAGAAAGCAGAGGGUGGUGCCUAUAGAUAUUAAGUGGAUGCGUACGAUGUUGAUGAGGGCGUUAGACACAUCCUUGCUGAUGGCUACCACCGCUCAGUUCUUUUACCUGAGUAAGGCCAGUAGGAGGCACCAUUUUUUCAUUGGAGGAUUAUGCUUCAUGACUAUGGCCUUGAUAUUGCUGAGGUUUUUGGGUCUUGAGUGGUGCAUUCAUGAGUAGUGAGUGACCAGCCCACUGACUGACUGACUGCACAAUUCCUACUUGAACCUGAUUUGACUGCCAAAGUCAUGUAGCAGUUAAUCAAUGAGGAGACUUCGGUGAGAAAGAUGGCUACGGAAUUUUAUCACCCGCAGGAUUGAACCCGUGAACCUUGGGUCCAGUGGCGAGCACGAUAAUCACUAGUCCACCAAGGGCGACGAGAAUAAUCGUUACUCACUUGUUUUAGGAUCGAUAAUCUCGUUGUUGUUGAAUGGACUGAGAAGAUUAUAAUAAUCUAGAAAAUCAUGCUGUAUGCUGUAGUUACUGCUCAAGAUAGAAACCCAUUUUACCAUAGAUCUGAAGAUUCAAGAAGGAGUGGUGCUGGUCCUACAAGGCAUUCUCCAUUCUCUUUGUUUAUGCUAUCAUGUGAAACAGAAGAAUGUGUCUUAAACCUUGUGUAUAUUGCAGAUAAUUAUAAUGGGUUCGUCUCAGGCAUUCAGCAGUGACAAGAGGUUUAGAACACGUGACAUUGCUGGUAGUCAAAGAAGAAUUGGUAAUACUGAGUUGCAGUAGCAGUCGUGUCAUGGAUGCGGGCUUGUAAAUCUGGGAGAUCAUUCACUGGAAUAAUGAACACACGAUCCUUCACAUAAACCCAGAGGAAGAAAUCCAGCAGAGCGAGAUACGGUGUACGUGGCUGCCACCAAAUUGGACUGCCACGACCAAUUCAGCGAUCUUGGAAGGUGUUAUUGAGGGACCUACGAACAUCUAGAUUCCAUUAUGGCGGAGCUCCAUCUUGUUGGAAGAUUACGUAAGGCUGCAGAUUGGCUACCUGGGGAUACAGGAACUGUUCCAACAUGUCAAGGUAUACGGGGACAGAUACUGUAGCUUCACCGAAGAAAAUCGGACCGGUAAUCCUGUCCUUCAUUAGGCCGCACCAAACGUUCAAUUUUGGGCUGUCUCGGACAUGUUCUCUGUACACAUGCGGAUUUUGCGUUCCCCAGAUCCGUACGUUAUGCUGAUUGACAAUCCCAAACAGAUGAAAUGUGGCCCUGUCUGAAAACAAGAUGUUUCCAAGAAAGUGAGUGUUGGUGUCGAUACGAUCCAGCAUUUCAGUAGCAAAUUCCUGUCAGUGUGGCUUGUCGUCUGAUUUCAAUUCUUGAACAAUUUGCAGUUUGUAAGGAUAUAAACGAAGCCGCUUAUGCAGCACUCGA